rnacentral:rRNA from 1 species
UACGUAGGGGGCAAGCGUUGUCCGGAAUCAUUGGGCGUAAAGAGCGUGUAGGCGGCUUGGUAAGUCCGCUGAAAGUCCAGGGCUCAACCCUGGAAUGCCGGUGGAAACUGUCAAGCUUGAGUCCGGAAGAGGCGAGUGGAAUUCCUGGUGUAGCGGUGAAAUGCGCAGAUAUCAGGAGGAACACCAAUGGCGAAGGCAGCUCGCUGGGACGGUACUGACGCUGAGACGCGAAAGCGUGGGGAGCAAACAGG